rnacentral:tRNA from 1 species
GCGGAUUUAGCUCAGUUGGGAGAGCGCCAGACUGAAGAAAAAACUUACGGUCAAGUUAUCUGGAGGUCCUGUGUUCGAUCCACAGAAUUCGCA